rnacentral:rRNA from 1 species
CCUACGGGUGGCAGCAGUGGGGAAUAUUGCACAAUGGGGGGAACCCUGAUGCAGCAAUGCCGCGUGGGUGAAGAAGCACUCCGGUGCGUAAAGCCCUGUCAGCAGGGAAGAAAAUGACAGUACCUGGACCAUAAGCCCCGGCUAACUACGUGCCAGCAGCCGCGGUAAUACGUAGGGGGCAAGCGUUAUCCGGAUUUACUGGGUGUAAAGGGAGCGCAGGGGGCGUGGCAAGUCAGAUGUGAAAAUCCGGGGCCCAACCCCGAGAGUGCAUUUGAAACUGGCAUGCUGGAGUGCCUGAGAGGUAAGCGGAAUUCCUGGUGUAGCGGUGAAAUGCGUAGAUAUGACGAAGAACCCCGAUUGCGAAGGCAGCUUGCUGCAGCGGAACUGACGCUGAUGCUCGAAAGCGUGGGUAUCGAACAGGAUUAGAUACCCUUGUAGUC